CCUACGGGAGGCUGCAGUAGGGAAUAUUGCUCAAUGGGGGAAACCCUGAUGCAGCAACGCCGCGUGUAGGAUGAAGGUUUUCGGAUUGUAAACUCCUUUUGUUAGAGAAGAUAAUGACGGUAUCUAACGAAUAAGCACCUGCUAACUCCGUGCCAGCAGCCGCGGUAAUACGGAGGGUGCAAGCGUUACUCGGAAUCACUGGGCGGAAAGAGCGCGUAGGCGGGAUAGCAAGUCAGAUGUGAAAUCCUAUGGCUUAACCAUAGAACUGCAUUUGAGACUGGUAUUCUAGAGUAUGGGAGAGGUAGGUGGAAUUCUUGGUGUAGGGGUAAAAUCCGUAGAGAUCAAGAGGAAUACUCAUUGCGAAGGCGACCUGCUAGAACAUAACUGACGCUGAUGCGCGAAAGCGUGGGGAGCAAACAGGAUUAGAUACCCGGGUAGUC
rnacentral:rRNA from 1 species